AUCAAAUUCUUUCGCAACGCAUUCUGAAAUGUGUAUUUUUUCCCCGUUGCCGGGAUGCGAACCUUCUUGAAUUCGCGAAUUAUUCAGUCGUAAACGGUCGCCCGAUCGGCGCUCUUCUAUUAAAAUGUACGGAUGCUGCCUCGAGUAUAAAGCAUUUACGAUCGACCGACUAAGCAUUAGUAGUAUGAUUAGCUGAGAUCGCACAUAAAUGCGAACGGUCUGGAUACCCACGUCGAAGCCAUCUUAACGGUCAUAAAUACAUUAACGAACGUGCUCGGUGCUUAUGUCGCGAGUUUAAUUAUGCACGCAUUUGCCUUGUAAUUAGCACGGGCUGUUUGGUUACGCCGACCCGAUACUCACGGAACUGUAACUCACGUGACCUGUUUGUGAGGUUUGAAUUACGUAAUACGGGCUGCUGCUAUCCACACACAGGCGAAACCUGGGAAUGACACGGCUAUGAUACAUGACCGUGCCGUGUAUGUAUCUUGCAGGGAUGAUUACAUAUGUAAAGGUAUUUAUUUUCAAUUAGUGCCACUUGAUCGGAUCCAUAAAACGCGUUGCGGCCAUUGUAGUCACGUUUAUUUGCGCGAUACCGGGUAUCUGCAACGUUUUUAACAUUUGCCCGUACUGCGAUACUGCUGAUACAUUAAUUAGCGAUACAAUGGGCAGUCGAUUAUCUGGCGAGGUCGCCAAAUGAAUAUCAGCCAUAACAAAAAUCCGGAAUCAUAUUUCCAUCAAUAUCGCGAAAUAUACGAAAAUAUUAAGAUAAUUAUUGUGGCAAAAUACGAGUGCCCAUGUUUGUUGUGCGUCUAUAGAAAGUACAAUUACGACUUUCUCAAAUAAAGGAGGAAAUUAAUUUGCGAUGUUAUUUGUAAAACAGCUGUAAUGCGCACAUUUAAAGAUAAUUUGGGACUCCAAUUCCUUCUGCAUGAGGGCACUCGAAUGAGAACGAAAGGCAUAACGGCCGAUUACUCUGCCAAACGAUCUGGAAGUAUUAAGUCGAUCGUACGUACGACAAAGUGGAUUAUCGGUCUUCUUUAAUUCGGUCCUUUAGGGACGAACGGAAGAGCUGGAUGUGCAAAGCUUUCGCGCCAGCAAUUUUCGGAGAUAAUCUGCACAAAUACGAUAAGACCCGAUCCUUGGAGUCUCGCUAAAUCAGAAACUCAAAGUUUACAGAAAACUAAAGAGAGUUGGAGUUUGCCAGAUUAAGUACACGGCGCACUGUAGACGCAAUUCGUUAUCAUCAUUGUAAAAAAUUUUAAAAACGACUAACGCGAGGCUCAGUCAAUGCGAAGAAUUUGGCGAAGCAACAAGUGUUUCCAUUAUUGUCUGCCGCAUCAGUUUCCGUUUCCGUUUUAAUUAUUUGAAUUAACUUCAUUAUUGAGUUACUUAAUUGUAACAUUAUCGGGGCGAUUACGUCACGAUCCCCGUCAAAGUUACUAAUAAUUCAGCAACACAACGUUAAACACUUCGCCAAAGGGUGCGCAAUAACGACGGGCGUUGAGCGGGCCACGCUUUGAUCAAACACGUUAAUGACACACCGGUGGCACAACAAACGCCACUACGGAGCCGCAGGAUACGGAAUCUGUUACGUGAGGUGCACAAAGUUCGCGGAUGAAUUUAAUACUCAAGUUUUUCAGAUCUUACUGAACGCUAAACGUUAAAGUCGGAAGACGAGUACCGUUUUAGGUAACAAAUUCGAACACUCGUAAUCUCCUGACUGGUACAUAAUUCGCUGCGUGGUGUUUCGCAAUACCAUGCCAAUGACUUACGAGCGAGUGGUUUCAGGACGCGAUCACUCGAAGUAGUACGAGUCGAUACAUGGUCAGCCGAAAUAGCACAAGGCAGUACUAUUACUCGCACGCUAGGCAAUAAAAAAGCAUUUGCUCCGACGGCGAUUCCGACGACGUGAUGUCUCUUAUCCGCAAAUUAUUUCAAGUCGUAGAAGCCGUCAAAAGUGCUGCUGUUGAAAUAUUUACACGUUCCUCAUCUCGCCGAGCGCGUGCCGACACCUCCCUUUGGUCUCGUGAGACGACGACACCAGGAGGAAAGGACGCGGAAUGGAUGACGGGAAUUAGGUUUUCCCGGGGAUAUGUGACCGGCUUUCGUAGAUGGUGUCUCUAUACGAUGUCAAAGUACCGCGGCGGCCAACUUUCAUCGUAAAACUUCGCUUCCUCUUCUAUUUUCAACGCGUUUCCGCGAUACGCGCGACAUUCCGUUUUGUGAAAAAAGCGUAACGCGCACGAUGGUUUUUCCCACCGGUCGCAAUUACGACCAGUACGUGAUGAGCAAUCUAAUGAAUUCGGAUCCAUCAUUCAAGUUAUUAAUCCUUGCGCUGCAGCAAAAAAUUGUCUCUCUCUCUCUCUUGAACGAUAAAAGAUUGAUGAAUGAGAGAAUUUAAAAAAUAUAUUUUCUUCUUUUCUCUGUCUCUGUCUCUCUUUUUCUUUCUUGAAUAGAUUAACAAAAUGUUUUGCAGAUUUUAUUAGUCAGCAGUAUUUUUAGAGUAUUUUUCAGGCGUGUGAAAAGUUCAACAACGUCAUUUAGUCUCGCAAUGUGCAUUGAUGAAUAUCGUAACGAUGGGAUUAAAAAGUACUGUGUAAUGCGUUAUUGUUUCAUGCGCUUACGCAUCACGUAAUCUGAUAAACUAUUUAUAAAAAUUUAAAAUUUUUUCCAAAGAUAGAAAACAUUCGAGAAAGCAGAAAGGAAAGCAACAAUUAUGCACAUUUCUAUCCGAUUCCGAGGCAAAUCUUAAUUAUAUUUCUCCAAACAUGACAUACGUAUUACCGCAGCUUGUUAACUUAAACGAAACACAUGAAAAAGCCAGUGCAAAUUGAUAUUUCUUUGUUCUUUUUAAUUACUUGCGUAGAAUCAGUCCAUGGGGAUACUUGUUGGUGGGAGCUAUGCAACGGUGCAACACAAGAAUCGUAAACAACCGAGCAGACUAAACAAAAAGCCGCGGGAACAACGCGAACGGCGUAUAGACAAGCCCGCAUCGUCUCCCGCAAAUAACAGCAAACAUCGGCAAUCACGUGCCGAUGCCCGAACAGGCGGCACAACGACAAAACCUGCAGAUAUUCGCGAAACGAGACGGAGUGGAACGCGCGGAAACUUGCACGAACGUACGACGGCCUCGUACGCGCAAUGGGGAGAGGGAAAUCCGAAGAAUUUUCCGAAGAGCGGAUUUCCGCUGGUCGUUAUAUAACCGGAAAAGCUCGUCCGCGAUAAAAGCGGCGUAAAAGGAAUCCAGGCUGAUUCCCGCGAGCGCACCGCCGUCUCCGGCGCGUUAAUUGUAAUGGUAUUAAUUACGAUAAUGGAGCGCCUCCCUCCUCCCCCUCUUUCCCGUUUCUCUCUCUCGCGCUCUUUCCUCCUCUUCUGCCGUGCCGCGCACCCCUUUGCGCCCACCCUCGCGCGCGCGGCGCCGCUAACCCCUCUUCGGCCAUCUUCCACCCUUUGUUCCAUCCCUUGACGUUGGCGUCAAUUAAGUGGAUAUCUCAAACGAAAAAUUCUAAUAAGCCCGCUCCAACCAACGGUUCCAAUGGCGCUUCGGCGCCCUCAUGCGAGCAAAUGGCACCAAGGCAUCGCCGAUAGCAGCUUUUUUUCUCACCGCUGAUGGCGUCGCGUCGUCCUCUCUCCAUCGACGAUGCGGGGCGUCGCGACGCCACGCGAUGCGACGCGAGUACCGCGCUUCGAGUACCCCGCACGUUCGAUCGGUCGGAAUUCUCGAGAGAGUGACUCCACGGCGGGAGAGCCUCACGAGAAUUCAGGACUUUCCUCCUAGUGAGAUCUAUCGACGGCAAGGGAUGAGGGUGGAUAAAGCAGAAGAGGGUGUACGGGGGUUGCAACUCGACGCAGACGGAUACGUUUUCGAAAAGGUGAGUAUGAGACCUUUGUCUCCAGCUGAGCCUCGAGCACUUUUGCAUUCGCUUUCUUCCUACUUCGUUCCCGAGUAGUGUUAUUUGACGUUCGUAAAUGAAUACACACAGUGGUGCGGGAGUCGUAUAUUUGAGAUUGCCUUUGUAGCUUUGUCGUUACAGUGUAUCGCCCAAUGUCUCUCGACUCUUUGACGAAUUCGACGAGAAAGUCGAUCUUGCUUCGGCAAACAUUCGAUGGGAGAGAUCAUAGGAUUCUGCUCCGCAAUUUGCAUUAAAUUUGCUUCAAUUAAGUCUCGAUUUUCCCGAUAGUGUAUUGGUUAUGGGUUCCUAUUUGCAUAAGGAUUGCACGUUGAGCUAUCAAAAAAAAGAGUAUUAAAAAUAUAUUAUAAAUAUAUUGAUAUUAUAUUUGUAUUUAUCCAGAUAUAAUCUUGAGAGAAGAAUUUACAUUCCUACAUACAAGAAUUCCUGGAUGUACAUGUCUCCAAUAUUUUAUUUUCCAAUUUUGUACUUCAGUAAUCGAAGUCUUACUUAGCAAUAUAGAAAACUUGAUUAUACGACACUUAGAAUUCUAUUUAACCAUGAAACUUGGAACUUUUCAUGUCCGAAGACUGUUGAAGAGAGCUUUGUGAUGGCGAUGAUGUACGAUCGGGGACUCUUACAUUAAUUCAUAUACCGAGAAAUUAAUUAUACUGUCCGGAUAAUAAAUGCUCCCCAUGGAAUUAUGCCGUUUCCUUGGUGACGAGACUUAUUGAUGAACUAGCAUUAUGCGAUCGUUGAAAGGGGGAUUGCGGAUACGAUGCUACAUUAUAGCCAGAUUAGUUGUGUAAAGAUUAAUUAAGCAUUCUCAAGGUCGUUAUUUUCGCAGUAAUAUACGUCGUUAACACGAAUUUAGCGUUUAGGAUCGUCGGUAUUGAGAAAACAAUAUGUGAUAUCAUUUGUGUGUCCAGACAUAUAAUUUUUUAUGAAAAAGAAUAAAUAAUUAAUAAAAUAAAUCUGUCUCUAUACUCUUGCAUAUUAAAAUAGUUAAAAAAGAUAACUUUUGGAAAUGAUGUUUCUUGGUAUAUGUCAGAGAAGAGUUGUAAAAUCUCAACGUUUGUCUUUACGUUUUGUCAACGUAGAAGACUUGCAAAUGUAGACUGUCGGAUGGUUUCGGUGAAGAACGUUAACUUCGCUAAUUAAGAGUUGAGACAGCUAAUACCCUAUAUUCCACUGCAAACUAAAAUUUCCAAAUCCGAAAAUAACCAACGAAACAGACGUCAUCCGUUAUUUUUAAGAAUAAAAGAUUCAAAUAUAGAGAAUGAUUUCACGAAACAGAAAAGAGCGUUUAAUAAAAGAAUGUACGGACAAGUUUAUGAAUAGUUUAAAAAAAAUUUAUUAAUAGUUUCCUUGAUAUAGAAUUAAACUCUCAAAAAGAAAACCAUUUCCCAUAUAUAGUAGUUUAUAUGUAUAUAGUAUUCUUUUUCAAUAUAACUCUCUCUUCCUUUCAUUUCUCUUUUUUCCUCCAUUUUCAUAUUUACGGAGGAAAUUUCGUAAAUUUUAAUAUAUGUCUACAGAAAAGCAAGAGUACAUGAACAAAACACGUAAUAAAUGGAAUACAAAAGCGAUGUAAAAUAUAACUGAUUUAACUCGUCAAAUAAUCAUGUUAUAAAUUGCGACAGAUAUUUUACUGUAACGUAAAUCAUAUAGUAUCAUAUUUACGAAACGAGUGCUAAAAGAAUUAAUAAAGGAGUUUCGUUUCGUCCUCUGCUGUUUCUCUCUUCGACAAAGAUGCGACCGCAAUUAAAGAACACGCCGUAUGUACGAAGAAAGUAAAUUCUCUUUAAAAGUGUAUCGUGUAGAAGAUUUCAACGCUGGCAAUGUUCCAGUUUUUAGAAAUUAGUAACGGUCCGGAAACACUUGGAAGUAGAUAUAGUAGGCGGAAGUAGACAACAACGGAUAAUAAUGGCCAAGUUGGUUACGCUGUGGCUACGCGAGAACGCCACAAGAAGCAUACUCGUCUUUCUCUAUCCAGACUUCAGAAAAAGGUCAACAUCCUUGAUCAUGAUGAAAAGUUCUGCCGCCAGGAAGUUGCGGAAAGAGAUAACGUAUAUACGAUUGUGCUCGCAGCUUGGUCUUUACAGAAAGUGCACAUUUGCUACCAUACCACCGUCCAAAGUAGCAAGUGAGCUAGAAUUGACAUAACGCAACUUUUCUACAAGCCGCUCCAAGGAACCUCUGUUUACCAUCUGUUACGAAUUUUCUGUUCAAUUUGAAGACGUAGCUUCUCAACAGAAAACUUUGAUAGGGCAAAAGAAUUUAUUUAUGACGAGUGUGUGUGUGUGAAUUUAUUUACUAAGGUAUUUAAUUUUGCGUGUGAAUAGAGAGCUAAUAGAGUAGUAUGGAAAACGAAAUGAAAAAGAGAUUUCUUUCUAAAUCAAAAGUGGUCUCUUCGAAAUAUUCUUGACUGCACGUGUCCAACUUGCCGACUCGUUCAGUUUGAUAUCGGUCGCGCGGAAAAUGCCAAGAAUUUCUCAGGCCGCCGGAGUCGUGUCGCUCCGUUUCUCCGAUUGUAAGUCGGAUGAAGGGGCAAUUAACCCUAAAGGCAAUAGUCGGCCGGUGAUGCCGUCAACCGCGAGAAUUACGUCGCAUCGACAAAAAUACGUAGGCGGUUCGCCGCGCGAGAAAGGAAGCCCAUUAGCGCUCGUGCGGGAGCGAAGUGGUCGUUCAUUCAUGAACUCGGGGGGAGCAGGGGGUGUAGAAGAAGGGGGUAGCCCAUAGCGCGUCGUAGUUACCGCUGUACUACACUCGCCGCUAGUAUUGUCGCUACCACUACUACGCCCGCUACUACCCUUGGUUGUACUACUACUACUUGCCACUACCACCCUUACAGGGCACGAACGCUGCUGCCGCCAAUGCCGCCGCCACCACCACUACCACAGCCACCGCCGUCGCAACACAACCACCAGCACUGCCGCCCUCGGCGCACCAACGUCGGUUACGCGUUCUACCACAAACCGGGUACCGGUGCCGGCGCCGCCACCGCCGCGGCGUGCCGAGCAUCGCGUUCCUGGCGUUCUUACGUGAGGAGCGACGGAUACUCCCAGUGCGACGACGGUCUUUUAGAAGGUGCACUUCCACACCUGAACGCCUUGACAUUGAGAGCAUCCCGACGCGAAUGUUUCGCCACGUAUCACGACUGUUCCGUUCCUAGCUGGGAUUGCGUUUCUCGAGGAUGAAAUCGAUCAAAAACAUUACCGUCGCUCGCUCGGCGUCGCUUCCGGUUAUCCCGACAGCUUUAAGGUCAACGCGCAUACUACGGUCCUUGACACUGAAACAACACGAAACUUUGGCAACUUGCUGGUAAGUUUGCGGGAUUUCCAUACGUUGUUCCAAAACGGAGAGAAUGUCCAAUUAAAGCGACGAACGGAACUUGAGUUCAACUCAAACGCGAACUAUUUCCUCGUUUUCUUCGUUGCUUAUUAUCUACAGCAGAAGUAAGUAUAAGAAUAGGCAGAAUGAAAUAUUUAUAGAAGUGUUAAUCUACGAUGAGGAAACAUAACAUUCGUAAAAGAUAAUUAUAUUAGUGAGUGACACGUGAAACUGUACUUUUUCUUAUUUCUGUGAUACUAAUGGUACACUUUCCGCGUUAAUAACAUUCGAAAGUUUGAAUUUUAUUUGCCUUUACCUGAAUGUCUUUAGACAGUACGAUCAAAACGCGUUUUACUUAAUAAAGAUUAAGUAAGUUUUUGACAUUACCUAUAAUUACAUAUCCACUGCUACAUUUACUCUGUAAUAUUUCUUGUUAAUUACACUAAACUUUACUUCCUUUUAAUCGAAUUUAACUUUGAUUCGAUGUCGUUCUUCACGAAUGGACUAACGAGACUGAUCGAUAGUAUCCACGAAUUUUUAUUAUCUGACAUUCAGGAUGAAAAGAAACUCGAUCUGUGAUAUUCGAACGUAGCUUCACCCGAAAAUUGCCGGUUCAUUUCUUCACGAGGACACGCGCGAGUGACCAACUCUAUUUUGAGGGUUGGACGAAUGGUGAUGGUGGAGGUGGUGACGGCGACCGCAACGUCGCGAACAGAAGUUAGAAAGAGAUUCUCACCCCCGAAGCAAACAACUCUCUCGCCGCUUCCGCCGGAGCCUCGGACCGUAAACACACGUCGGUGGUUGGUCGCGUACUGAAGUUUCCACUAGCGGUGGAUCCAGCAUCCCCGACCGGAGGGAGAGAGAGUGAGUGAGACAGAGAGGAUUCCGCACACCGGUGUUCAACCCCACCGCCCCACUCGCCACCUACCACCGACGCGAACACCCUUUAACCCUCCUCCGUUCGGCGCCUUCCGUCCUCCAGCCGUCACUCGAAACCGUCACCGUCACCCUGUACGAACCGCUACCGAUCUCCUACGUAACCCCUCCCUUCGUAACACCUGAACGAGGGGAGGGAGUUGCACGAAGAUAGGAUACUUGGCAUCUCCCCACACACGGCUAACUUGGAGGCGAUCGAAGCUGAACUGUUCGGCUACUUUUUUCGUAUUAAUAAAUUUACACACGUGUUGUGUGAAAGAACUCGAGCUGGGUAUGAAGUGGGUAUGAAUUAAUUGAUUGAAAUGGGAAUGAAUUUAUUGAAGCAAUUAUAUGACAUUCGGAGACGUUGAUAUUUUUAAAAAAACGAGAUGAAAAAUAAAAAUGUUACAAAUAUUAAAAGCACUUAUGCACUUGUUUGGCAAAUGUCGCGAAAUCGUUAAAACCUCUUGCGUCAUUAUUUAAUGGACUCUUGAAAAAUUCCGUAAUACCGUAUAUAUUUGCACACUUUUCUGAACAGCAUCGUAUCUGUGAAAUGCAAAAAUAAAAUGCAAAAAAAGAAGUGAGAGGAGAUGGAGGAGACGAAUUUUCCAUUACUAAUCAAUUUCCAUCGUCUGUAUAAAUGUGUCUCAGUGUUCGCCGUUAAUGGAAAGAAUUAAUUGUGCUCGCGGGCAGAUGGAAGGAUCAGACUGAGACGUAACACCAGGAAUCCGAUAGAACAGGAAUCUAUAUUGAACAUUCGAGAAGCGCCUGAAGCGCCAAAAGAGAGGAAGUUUACUCUAGAUCCUAAACUGUGGAUCGCAUCCUAAACACUUUUCUCUUAUAGAGCUCCAAAGCCAUUCUUACGAGCACUCGUCCUUAUAAAAAUAACCGUUUGGCCGGGCAAACCUCUGUCGACGUGAGGCAAAAAGUUAGCGAAGCUCGCCGAAAGUUUUCUACCUUCGUUCAACAACAUAUUUCAUUGUCGGCUACCAUAUAAAUUGUAAGAGAUUUUUGCGCGAUGUAAGAUUUAGCUGGUGAUUUAACGGGAACGCGUUACGGACGCGGCGGCUUUCAGGAGAGAUCAAAUCCCCAGGAAUCAGCGGCUCUCGAACUUCGAGGAUCUCGGAAGUCCCUCGCGAUUUAGGAAAAGUUUUCAGCUGCCGAAAGUUUUUGUAUCUGUAACUUUUCCUCCGAAACUCGGAGCAUCGGAGCCCAUACCCUUUCGCCUUCUCUAAAUGCAUAUCAUAUACAUUCGUAUGAAUAUCCGACUGAUGUGUUUGGAUGAAAGAAGAAGCGUACGAGUCGCGCGUCUUCAUCGACCCAUGACCCCGUAAUAUAUAUGAAUAUUAAGCGAUUCAUAUAUUCCAUCCUUUGUAUUGAAAUUUUAGAAAGGUAUUGAAAUUUACUCCGAAUGUAGAUUAAUAAUUUUGUUCUUGCAAAAGAGAUCGCACGUAAAUUCUGAUUUAAGCGCGUGCGAAUAGUAUUUUAUUAUGCGUGUAUCGAUAUUGUAAACUACAAACGUGCCCAAUAGUUUUGUAUAAUCAUGCGACACAUUUAUUAUAUAAAUUUUCGUUGCACUGUUAAUAUUUCCGCUGGAAUAUUUUUGCUAACACAGGCGAAUAAAAUGGAAUAUAUGAAAAUUUUACCAUGCCACAUAUAUAUUUGUAUUUAUUAACGAUUAUCAAGUGGAUUUAAAAUCGAGUAUUAAUAUUUUAUAGUUCAUAUUUUUAUUAUUUGCAUGGUAUCGAUGUCAUGUAAUAUAACAUGUAACAUGUCAUGUAAAAUAAAAGUUGUGCGAUAUUUAA